GGGCGUAAGAGCUCGUAGGCGGUUUGUCGCGUCUGUCGUGAAAGUCCGGGGCUUAACCCCGGAUCUGCGGUGGGUACGGGCAGACUAGAGUGCAGUAGGGGAGACUGGAAUUCCUGGUGUAGCGGUGGAAUGCGCAGAUAUCAGGAGGAACACCGAUGGCGAAGGCAGGUCUCUGGGCUGUAACUGACGCUGAGGAGCGAAAGCAUGGGGAGCGAACAGGAUUAGAUACCCUGGUAGUCCAUGCCGUAAACGUUGGGCACUAGGUGUGGGGACCAUUCCACGGUUUCCGCGCCGCAGCUAACGCAUUAAGUGCCCCGCCUGGGGAGUACGGCCGCAAGGCUAAAACUCAAAGGAAUUGACGGGGGCCCGCACAAGCGGCGGAGCAUGCGGAUUAAUUCGAUGCAACGCGAAGAACCUUACCAAGGCUUGACAUGUUCUCGAUCGCCGUAGAGAUACGGUUUCCCCUUUGGGGCGGGUUCACAGGUGGUGCAUGGUUGUCGUCAGCUCGUGUCGUGAGAUGUUGGGUUAAGUCCCGCAACGAGCGCAACCCUCGUUCCAUGUUGCCAGCACGUANUGGUGGGGACUCAUGGGAGACUGCCGGGGUCAACUCGGAGGAAGGUGAGGACGACGUCAAAUCAUCAUGCCCCUUAUGUCUUGGGCUUCACGCAUGCUACAAUGGCCGGUACAAUGGGUUGCGAUACUGUGAGGUGGAGCUAAUCCCAAAAAGCCGGUCUCAGUUCGGAUUGGGGUCUGCAACUCGACCCCAUGAAGUCGGANUCGCUAGUAAUCGCAGAUCAGCAACGCUGCGGUGAAUACGUUCCCGGGCCUUGUACACACCGCCCGUCAAGUCACGAAAGUUGGUAACACCCGAAGCCGGUGGCCUAACCCUUGUGGGGGGAGCCGUCGAA
rnacentral:rRNA from 1 species